UUCAUAUUCACCACACAGACCUCAAGAUGGGGAUACAGUUUCCCUGGAACAUCUCUGACUGUCACAGACCUGCAGGUGAAGGUGACUCCUGCCACAGAGGCAGGGAAGAGGACACUGACCUKUAGCACCACCUGUACUCUGACUGACAACCCCACCUACAUCUGGUACAAGAACGGACACAAAGUAAAGGAGGACACUUCCAGCCUGUACUCAGACUCCUUUAGUGAUGCAGACAGUUACUCCUGUGCUGUAAAAGGCCAUGAGGAUCUCCACUCUCCUGCAGUGUGUCAGAACUGUUGGAGUGUGACUUACACCCAUCAGAAGAUCUGUGCUUUAAAGGGGUCAACAGUGAACAUAUCCUGCUCUUACACAUAUCCCAGAAGUUAUACAGUCAAAAUAACCUUCUGGUUCACUAAA